GACGAACGCUGGCGGCGUGCUUAACACAUGCAAGUCGAACGGGUCUGCCCUGUUUUUUGCGGGGUGGGUCAGUGGCGAACGGGUGAGUAACACGUGAGUAACCUGCCCCUCACUUCUGGAUAACCGCUUGAAAGGGUGGCUAAUACGGGGUGUUCUGGCUGUGCCGCAUGGUGUGGCUGGGAAAGAUUCACUUUUGUGGUGUUUUGGUGGGGGAUGGGCUCGCGGCCUAUCAGCUUGUUGGUGGGGUGAUGGCCUGCCAAGGCUUUGACGGGUAGCCGGCCUGGGAGGGUGGGCGGUCACACUGGGACUGAGAUACGGCCCAGACUACUGCGGGAGGCAGCAGUGGGGGGUAUUGCACAAGGGGCGGAAGCCUGAUGCAGCGACGUCGCGUGAGGGAUGGAGGCCUUCGGGUUGUGAACCUCUUUCGCCGGUGAAGAAGGUCCUGCUCUUUGUGGUGGGGUUGACGGUAGCCGGGUUAUGAAGCGCCGGCUAACUACGU
rnacentral:rRNA from 1 species